GAUGAACGCUGGCGGCGUGCCUAAUACAUGCAAGUCGAACGAGGUGCUUUUGUAGCAAUACGAGAGUAUCCUAGUGGCGAACGGGUGAGUAACGCGUGGAUGACCUGCCCCAAAGUGUGGGAUAACAGUCCGAAAGGAUUGCUAAUACCUCAUGUGGUUAUCGGUUUUAGAAAGCGAUAACUAAAGCAGCAAUGCGCUUUGGGAGGGAUCUGCGUCCCAUCAGCUAGUUGGUGAGGUAACGGCUCACCAAGGCGACGACGGGUAGGGGACCUGAGAGGGUGGCCCCCCACAAUGGAACUGAAACACGGUCCAUACACCUACGGGAGGCAGCAGUGGGGAAUAUUGCGCAAUGGGCGAAAGCCUGACGCAGCCACGCCGCGUGAGCGAUGAAGGCC
rnacentral:rRNA from 1 species